UACGAAGGGGGCUAGCGUUGUUCGGAAUUACUGGGCGUAAAGAGCGCGCAGGCGGUCGUUCAAGUCGAGUGUGAAAGCCCCCGGCUCAACUGGGGAGGGUCAUUCGAUACUGAUCGACUCGAAGGCAGGAGAGGGAAGUGGAAUUCCCGGUGUAGUGGUGAAAUGCGUAGAUAUCGGGAGGAACACCAGUGGCGAAGGCGACUUCCUGGCCUGUUCUUGACGCUGAGGCGCGAAAGCUAGGGGAGCAAACGGG
rnacentral:rRNA from 1 species